UACGUAGGGGGCUAGCGUUGUCCGGAAUCAUUGGGCGUAAAGAGCGCGUAGGCGGUCCGUUAAGUCCGGUGUGAAAGUCGGGGGCUCAACCCUCGAAUGCCGGUGGAUACUGUCGGGCUAGAGUGCGGAAGAGGCGAGUGGAAUUCCUGGUGUAGCGGUGAAAUGCGCAGAUAUCAGGAGGAACACCUAUUGCGAAGGCAGCUCGCUGGGACGUAACUGACGCUGAGGCGCGAAAGCGUGGGGAGCAAACAGG
rnacentral:rRNA from 1 species